AUGCAAUGAAUCUGUUUUAAUUAAAUAAUUUAAAUUUUUUGUGAUUGCACAAUAAGUCUCCUAAACGGAGAAAUGUUGAAGACGUACUGUUUGAAGUUAAAAAAAAAGUGUAAAUGGGCCUCGACUAAAUAUACCACGAGGUUGAAUACUACAACAACGAACAGGAGAACAUGUGUACCUAUAUGAUGUACCAGAGCACUGGAAUAAAUACGAGGUUGCAGAAUUAAUUUCUCACCGCGACGGCAAGCACCAGGACUGCUAGGAGAUUGUGGUGGAUUAAAAAGGUUGAAGGUACCCUUUUUGGGGUGCAAUGACUGCUACUUGGUACAUCUUAGCAUUGCGUUUACCAAUAUACAGGGUUUACCUUGGAGCCCCAAUCUGACUUUUAAUAAAAACCGGUAAUUAUCUGUAGAGUGCGUAACUAACUACACGAAUGAAACAGAAUCUAUACUUAUUAACUUAUUUAAUGUUACCUAGUUGUGUUCGUCGUAGGUGCGAAGAUAUGACCGUAUUUUGUAGUCAUGUCUUAAGUCUAAAUUCUGAUAUACUAUUGUUUUGGUUGAUCAAAAAGCUUGAAAUUAUAGAUGUGUAUGAUACGGCGUGAUGACAAAGGGGAUC